rnacentral:rRNA from 1 species
AUUGAACGCUGGCGGAAUGCUUUACACAUGCAAGUCGAGCGGCAGCGCGGGGCAACCUGGCGGCGAGCGGCGAACGGGUGAGUAACGCAUCGGAACGUGCCCAGUCGUGGGGGAUAACGUAGCGAAAGUUACGCUAAUACCGCAUACGAUCUAAGGAUGAAAGCGGGGGAUCGCAAGACCUCGCGCGAUUGGAGCGGCCGAUAUCAGAUUAGGUAGUUGGUGGGGUAAAGGCUCACCAAGCCAACGAUCUGUAGCUGGUCUGAGAGGACGACCAGCAACACUGGAACUGAGACACGGUCCAGACUCCUACGGGAGGCAGCAGUGGGGAAUUUUGGACAAUGGACGCAAGUCUGAUCCAGCCAUUCCGCGUGCAGGAUGAAGGCCCUCGGGUUGUAAACUGCUUUUGUACGGAACGAAAAGGUCUCUCUUAAUACGGGGGACUCAUGACGGUACCGUAAGAAUAAGCACCGGCUAACUACGUGCCAGCAGCCGCCGUAA